rnacentral:rRNA from 1 species
AGAGCGAACGCUGGCGGCAGGCUUAACACAUGCAAGUCGAGCGGGCGUAGCAAUACGUCAGCGGCAGACGGGUGAGUAACGCGUGGGAACGUACCUUUUGGUUCGGAACAACACAGGGAAACUUGUGCUAAUACCGGAUAAGCCCUUACGGGGAAAGAUUUAUCGCCGAAAGAUCGGCCCGCGUCUGAUUAGCUAGUUGGUGAGGUAACGGCUCACCAAGGCGACGAUCAGUAGCUGGUCUGAGAGGAUGAUCAGCCACAUUGGGACUGAGACACGGCCCAAACUCCUACGGGAGGCAGCAGUGGGAAUAUUGGACAAUGGGCGCAAGCCUGAUCCAGCCAUGCCGCGUGAGUGAUGAAGGCCCUAGGGUUGUAAAGCUCUUUUGUGCGGGAAGAUAAUGACGGUACCGCAAGAAUAAGCCCCGGCUAACUUCGUGCCAGCAGCCGC